GUAAAUAUAGUUUAAUAAAAACAUUAGAUUGUGAAUCUAAUAAUAGAAGUACAAAAACUCUUAUUUA
rnacentral:tRNA from 1 species